rnacentral:rRNA from 1 species
UACGUAGGGUGCAAGCGUUGUCCGGAAUUAUUGGGCGUAAAGAGCUCGUAGGCGGUCUGUCGCGUCGGCUGUGAAAACUCGGGGCUCAACUCCGAGCUUGCAGUCGAUACGGGCAGGCUAGAGUGCGGCAGGGGAGACUGGAAUUCCUGGUGUAGCGGUGAAAUGCGCAGAUAUCAGGAGGAACACCGGUGGCGAAGGCGGGUCUCUGGGCCGAUACUGACACUGAGGAGCGAAAGCCAGGGGAGCAAACGGG